GAUUGAACGCUGGCGGUAUGCUUAACACAUGCAAGUCGAACGGAAACGAUACUAGCUUGCUAGUAGGCGUCGAGUGGCGGACGGGUGAGUAACGCGUAGGAAUCUGCCUGAUAGUGGGGGAUAGCCCGAAGAAAUUCGGAUUAAUACCGCAUAAUCUAUUCGUAGUAAAGUGGGGGACUUUCGAGCCUCACGCUAUCAGAUGAGCCUGCGUAAGAUUAGCUUGUUGGUAGGGUAAAAGCCUACCAAGGCGACGAUCUUUAGCUGGUCUGAGAGGAUGAUCAGCCACAUCGGGACUGAGACACGGCCCGAACUCCUACGGGAGGCAGCAGUGGGGAAUAUUGGACAAUGGGGGCAACCCUGAUCCAGCAAUACCGCGUGUGUGAAGAAGGCCUGAGGGUUGUAAAGCACUUUCAAUUGUGAAGAAAAGUUAGCGGUUAAUAACCGUUAGCCUUGACGUUAACUUUAGAAGAAGCACCGGCUAACUCCGUGCCAGCAGCCGCGGUAAUACGGAGGGUGCAAGCGUUAAUCGGAAUUACUGGGCGUAAAGCGUGCGUAGGCGGUUUAUUAAGUCAGAUGUGAAAGCCCCGGGCUUAACCUGGGAACUGCAUUUGAAACUGGUCAACUAGAGUAUGGUAGAGGAAAGUGGAAUUUCUGGUGUAGCGGUGAAAUGCGUAGAUAUCAGAAGGAACAUCAAUGGCGAAGGCAGCUUUCUGGACCAAUACUGACGCUGAGGUACGAAAGCGUGGGUAGCAAACAGGAUUAGAUACCCUGGUAGUCCACGCCGUAAACGAUGAUAACUAGCCGUUGGGGGGAUUUACCCUUUAGUGGCGAAGCUAACGCGUUAAGUUAUCCGCCUGGGGAGUACGGCCGCAAGGUUAAAACUCAAAGGAAUUGACGGGGACCCGCACAAGCGGUGGAGCAUGUGGUUUAAUUCGAUGCAACGCGAAGAACCUUACCUGGUCUUGACAUCCUGCGAACUUUCUAGAAAUAGAUUGGUGCCUUCGGGAACGCAGUGACAGGUGCUGCAUGGCUGUCGUCAGCUCGUGUCGUGAGACGUUGGGUUAAGUCCCGUAACGAGCGCAACCCCUAUCCUUAUUUGCCAGCACAUCAUGGUGGGAACUAUAAGGAGACUGCCGGUGAUAAACCGGAGGAAGGCGGGGACGACGUCAAGUCAUCAUGGCCCUUACGACCAGGGCUACACACGUGCUACAAUGGGAAGGACAAAGAGCCGCGAAGCCGCGAGGUGUAGCUAAUCUCAUAAACCUUUUCGUAGUCCGGAUUGGAGUCUGCAACUCGACUCCAUGAAGUCGGAAUCGCUAGUAAUCGUAGAUCAGAAUGCUACGGUGAAUACGUUCCCGGGUCUUGUACACACCGC
rnacentral:rRNA from 1 species